AUGCUUUGGUGCCUUCGGGAACUCUGAGACAGGUGCUGCAUGGCUGUCGUCAGCUCGUGUUGUGAAAUGUUGGGUUAAGUCCCGCAACGAGCGCAACCCUUAUCCUUUGUUGCCAGCGGUCCGGCCGGGAACUCAAAGGAGACUGCCAGUGAUAAACUGGAGGAAGGUGGGGAUGACGUCAAGUCAUCAUGGCCCUUACGAGUAGGGCUACACACGUGCUACAAUGGCGCAUACAAAGAGAAGCGACCUCGCGAGAGCAAGCGGACCUCAUAAAGUGCGUCGUAGUCCGGAUUGGAGUCUGCAACUCGACUCCAUGAAGUCGGAAUCGCUAGUAAUCGUAGAUCAGAAUGCUACGGUGAAUACGUUCCCGGGCCUUGUACACACCGCCCGUCACACCAUGGGAGUGGGUUGCAAAAGAAGUAGGUAGCUUAACCUUCGGGAGGGCGCUUACCACUUUGUGAUUCAUGACUGGGGUGAAGUCGUAACAAGGUAAGCGUAGACGU
rnacentral:rRNA from 1 species